AUGGAAGAAUUUUUUGCUUUUAUGGGUGCUUAUGAAAUUGAAUCUAUGUUUAAAGAGUUUGAAGAUUUUGAUGAUUUGGUUUAUAGACCUGAAAAUUUAGCUAUCCUUAAAUAUUGUUAUGAGAAUUAUGAAUACAAUUACGAUAUUAAUGCACUUAUUGAGAAAGUCUCCUCUGUCCAAGAAGAGACUAAUAUUUUGCAGGAGUCUGUGGAAGAAGAAAUUACUGAAACUGUGAGCUCAUUGGAUGAAAAAGAUGAUGAGGAGAGCGGAGAACAAAAGGAGGAAGAGCGGAUUAGCUACCCAUGCCCACCUUCUAAUGAGAGUAACUCUUCAACUCAUACAUUGUUUAAUUUCCCUUCGUGCUUACCGAAGGAUGAAUGCUAUGAUGAUUGUUAUGAUCCCAUUGAUUCUCUUGAAAUAUCCCUUUUUGAUGAUGCUUGCUAUGCUUGUGUCCAAGAUGCCAAUAUGAAUUAUGCUUAUGGAGAUGAACUUGCUAUAGUUCCUUAUGUUAAACAUGAAAUUGUUGCUAUUGCACCCACGCAUGAUAGUCCUAUUAUCUUUUUGAAUUCUCCAAACUACACUAUAUCGGAGAAGUUUGCCCUUAUUAAGGAUUAUAUUGAUGGGUUGCCUUUUACCGUUGCACAUGAUGAUUUUGAUGAAUAUAAUAUGCAUGUGCUUGCUGCUCCUACUUGCAAUUAUUAUGAGAGAGGAACUAUAUCUCCACCUCUCUAUGUUUCCCACAUGAUAAAAUUGCAAGAAACUGUUUAUACUAUGCAUUGGCCUUUGCUAUGUGUGCAUGAAUUGUUCUUUUAUGACAUGCCGAUGCAUAGGAAGAGAGUUAGACUUCGUUGUUGCAUGAUAUAUGUUGCCUUGUGCUCAUUACUAAAUUACAAAUCAUUGUUAAUUAAAAUUGGCUUUGAUAUACCUUGGGAUCCGGGUGGAUCCAUUACUUGA
rnacentral:rRNA from 1 species